rnacentral:miRNA from 1 species
ACACAGAUGAUGCAUAAAUCGUUCUCUCUCUCUCUCUCUCUCUCUCUCUCUCUCUCUCUCACACACACACACACACACACACACACACAGAGAGAGAGAGAGAGAGAGAGAGAGAUGUGUUUUCUGGACUCAAUUC